CCAAAAAGGGGUAGUGAAGCUCUGACGGAUUGUAGGCACAUGGUUUCAGGUACUAUUUCACUCCCCGCCAGGGGUACUUUUCACCUUUCCCUCACGGUACUUGUCCGCUAUCGGUCAUCAAGAAGUAUUUAGGCUUAACGGGUGGUCCCGCCAGAUUCACACACCAUUUCAGGGGUGGCGUGUUACUUGGGAAAAAACUCGGUAGCCGCACACUUACACCUACGGGGCUAUCACCCUCUAUGGCGCCACUUUCCAAUGGACUUCAACUUCACGCACGGUUUCUAACUACCUCACCAACCGGCAGACUGGUAUGAGUCCUCCCACAACCCCCCAAAUGCAACCCCUG
rnacentral:misc_RNA from 1 species